CGCAAACCCGCCGAAGAGGCAAGAUCCACGUGGCCGUCUCGGCCAUCUUGAAAACGUGUCUGUGAAAUCGUUCACCAAAAUCUCAAUUUACUUCACGAAAAUUCCUAGUUCAACAGAAACAACAUCAUAGAAUUGAUGAGCUCCUGCGUCCUGAUGCCCUAUACAUGUACAGGGACUGCCGCUUCUCAGUUCAACUAAGAAAAUAAUUGACGUCAAAGAACUUGUUCACGUGCUCUAUCCAGCCCAUCCGCAGAUCUUCUCCAUACGAUGGCGACUCGAUUUCAGUUCUUCAGUUAAUCUGUAACUUCAUUUAAUCUGUAUGAUCUUUUG